AGGUAGUGCAGAUACAAUACAGGGCAUCCAUGUCUUGUAAUUGGAAUGAGUAGAAUUUAAAUCUCUUUAUGAGUACCAAUUGGAGGGCAAGUCUGGUGCCAGCAGCCGCGGUAAUUCCAGCUCCAAUAGCAUAUAUUAAAGUUGUUGCGGUUAAAAAGCUCGUAGUCGGAUUUCUGCCGAGGACAACCGGUCCGCCCUCUGGGCGAGCAUCUGGCUUGAUCUGGGCAUCUUCUUGGAGAGCGUAGCUGCACUUGACUGUGUGGUGCGGUAUCCAGGACUUUUACUUUGAGGAAAUUAGAGUGUCCCAAGCAGGCCCAUGCCAUAAAUACAUUAGCAUGGAAUAAUAGGGUAGGACCUAUACUCUAUUUUGUUGGUUUCUAGAGCAGAGGUAAUGGUCAAUGGGGAUAGUUGGGGGUAUUCGUAUUUGACUGUCAGAGGUGAAAUUCUUGGAUUUGUCAAAGACGAACCAAUGCGAAAGCAUUUGCCAGAGAUGUUUUCCUUGAUCAAGAACGAAAGUUAGGGGAUCGAAGACGAUCAGAUACCGUCCUAGUCUUAACCAUAAACUAUGCCAACUAGAGAUUGGAGGUCGUUAGAUUUACGACUCUUUCGGCACCUUAUGAGAAAUCAAAGUCUUUGGGUUCCGGGGGGAGUAUGGUCGCAAGGCUGAAACUUAAAGGAAUUGACGGAAGGGCACCACCAGGAGUGGAGCCUGCGGCUUA
rnacentral:rRNA from 1 species